rnacentral:miRNA from 1 species
CAUAACACACCCUAGGGAUCAA